rnacentral:rRNA from 1 species
AAAUUGAAGAGUUUGAUCAUGGCUCAGAUUGAACGCUGGCGGCAGGCCUAACACAUGCAAGUCGAACGGUAACAGGAAUCAGCUUGCUGAUUCGCUGACGAGUGGCGGACGGGUGAGUAAUGUCUGGGAAACUGCCUGAUGGAGGGGGAUAACUACUGGAAACGGUAGCUAAUACCGCAUAACGUCGCAAGACCAAAGAGGGGGACCUUCGGGCCUCUUGCCAUCGGAUGUGCCCAGAUGGGAUUAGCUAGUAGGUGGGGUAA